rnacentral:tRNA from 7 species
GCGUCCGUAGCUCAUCCGGAUAGAGCAAACGUUUCCUAAACGUUAGGUGGGAGGUUCGAGCCCUCUCGGGCGCGCCA